rnacentral:rRNA from 1 species
GACGAACGCUGGCGGCGUGCCUAAUACAUGCAAGUAGAACGCUGAAGGAGGAGCUUGCUUCUCUGGAUGAGUUGCGAACGGGUGAGUAACGCGUAGGUAACCUGCCUGGUAGCGGGGGAUAACUAUUGGAAACGAUAGCUAAUACCGCAUAACAGUAGAUAUCGCAUGAUAUCUACUUGAAAAGUGCAAUUGCAUCACUACCAGAUGGACCUGCGUUGUAUUAGCUAGUUGGUGAGGUAACGGCUCACCAAGGCGACGAUACAUAGCCGACCUGAGAGGGUGAUCGGCCACACUGGGACUGAGACACGGCCCAGACUCCUACGGGAGGCAGCAGUAGGGAAUCUUCGGCAAUGGACGGAAGUCUGACCGAGCAACGCCGCGUGAGUGAAGAAGGUUUUCGGAUCGUAAAGCUCUGUUGUAAGAGAAGAACGAGUGUGAGAGUGGAAAGUUCACACUGUGACGGUAUCUUACCAGAAAGGGACGGCUAACUACGUG